GAUGAACGCUGGCGGCGUGCCUAAUACAUGCAAGUCGAGCGAACAGACGAGGAGCUUGCUCCUCUGACGUUAGCGGCGGACGGGUGAGUAACACGUGGAUAACCUACCUAUAAGACUGGGAUAACUUCGGGAAACCGGAGCUAAUACCGGAUAAUAUAUUGAACCGCAUGGUUCAAUAGUGAAAGACGGUUUUGCUGUCACUUAUAGAUGGAUCCGCGCCGCAUUAGCUAGUUGGUAAGGUAACGGCUUACCAAGGCAACGAUGCGUAGCCGACAUGAGAGGGUGAUCGGCCACACUGGAACGGAGACACGGUCCAGACUCCUACGGGAGGCAGCAGUAGGGAAUCUUCCGCAAUGGGCGAAAGCCUGACGGAGCAACGCCGCGUGAGUGAUGAAGGUCUUCGGAUCGUAAAACUCUGUUAUUAGGGAAGAACAAAUGAGUAAGUAACUAUGCACGUCUUGACGGUACCUAAUCAGAAAGCCACGGCUAACUACGUG
rnacentral:rRNA from 1 species